CGGUGGAUGCCCUGGCAGUCAGAGGCGAUGAAGGGCGUGCUAAUCUGCGAUAAGCGCCGGUAAGGUGAUAUGAACCGUUAUAACCGGCGAUACCCGAAUGGGGAAACCCAGUGUGAUUCGUCACACUAUCAUUAACUGAAUCCAUAGGUUAAUGAGGCGAACCGGGGGAACUGAAACAUCUAAGUACCCCGAGGAAAAGAAAUCAACCGAGAUUCCCCCAGUAGCGGCGAGCGAACGGGGAGGAGCCCAGAGCCUGAAUCAGCAUGUGUGUUAGUGGAAGCGUCUGGAAAGGCGCGCGAUACAGGGUGACAGCCCCGUACACAAAAGCGCAUGUGCUGUGAGCUCGAUGAGUAGGGCGGGACACGUGGUAUCCUGUCUGAAUAUGGGGGGACCAUCCUCCAAGGCUAAAUACUCCUGACUGACCGAUAGUGAACCAGUACCGUGAGGGAAAGGCGAAAAGAACCCCGGCGAGGGGAGUGAAAAAGAACCUGAAACCGUGUACGUACAAGCAGUGGGAGCACAGGUUUACCUGUGUGACUGCGUACCUUUUGUAUAAUGGGUCAGCGACUUAUAUUCUGUAGCAAGGUUAACCGAAUAGGGGAGC
rnacentral:rRNA from 1 species